rnacentral:rRNA from 1 species
UACGUGGGGGGCAAGCGUUGUUCGGAAUUACUGGGCGUAAAGGGCUUGUAGGUGGCCAACUAAGUCAGACGUGAAAUCCCUCGGCUUAACCGGGGAACUGCGUCUGAUACUGGAUGGCUUGAGUUUGGGAGAGGGAUGCGGAAUUCCAGGUGUAGCGGUGAAAUGCGUAGAUAUCUGGAGGAACACCGGUGGCGAAGGCGGCAUCCUGGACCGGCAUUGACGCUGAGGAGCGAAAGCCAGGGGAGCAAACGGG